CCACGGGUGGCUGCAGUGGGGAAUAUUGGACAAUGGGCGAAAGCCUGAUCCAGCCAGGCCGCGUGUGUGAAGAAGGCCUUCGGGUUGUAAAGCACUUUCAGUGGGGAAGAAAGCCUUGGGGCUAAUACCCUCGAGGAAGGACAUCACCCACAGAAGAAGCACCGGCUAACUCCGUGCCAGCAGCCGCGGUAAUACGGAGGGUGCGAGCGUUAAUCGGAAUUACUGGGCGUAAAGCGCGCGUAGGCGGUCUGAUAAGCCGGUUGUGAAAGCCCCGGGCUCAACCUGGGAACGGCAUCCGGAACUGUCAGGCUAGAGUGCAGGAGAGGAAGGUAGAAUUCCCGGUGUAGCGGUGAAAUGCGUAGAGAUCGGGAGGAAUACCAGUGGCGAAGGCGGUCUUCUGGACUGACACUGACGCUGAGGUGCGAAAGCGUGGGUAGCAAACAGGAUUAGAUACCCGGGUAGUC
rnacentral:rRNA from 1 species